GAUGAACGCUGGCGGCGUGCCUAAUACAUGCAAGUCGAGCGAACAGACGAGGAGCUUGCUCCUCUGACGUUAGCGGCGGACGGGUGAGUAACACGUGGAUAACCUACCUAUAAGACUGGGAUAACUUCGGGAAACCGGAGCUAAUACCGGAUAAUAUAUUGAACCGCAUGGUUCAAUAGUGAAAGACGGUUUUGCUGUCACUUAUAGAUGGAUCCGCGCCGCAUUAGCUAGUUGGUAAGGUAACGGCUUACCAAGGCGACGAUGCUUAGCCGACCUGAGAGGGUGAUCGGCCAAACUGGAACUGAGACACGGUCCAGACUCCUACGGGAGGCAGCAGUAGGGAAUCUUCCGCAAUGGGCGAAAGCCUGACGGAGCAACGCCGCGUGAGUGAUGAAGGUCUUCGGAUCGUAAAACUCUGUUAUUAGGGAAGAACAAAUGUGUAAGUAACUAUGCACGUCUUGACGGUACCAAAGCAGAAAGCCACGGCUAACUACGU
rnacentral:rRNA from 1 species